rnacentral:rRNA from 1 species
AGUAUAAGCCAAUGGAGCUUGGAAGGCUUCCGCAGAUGGUGUCCAUCAUACGUGGUGUUCUUAAGACCUUGAGUGUGGCUCGUCAGGCGAAGCAUUGAGUUUGCCGGGUUAGUCGUCGUGCGGGGGGUUCGGCCUGGGGGACUUUGGCUUCGGCUGAAGGGUGCUUCAGGCCUCCCCUUUUGAAUGGACGUUCAGAGCUCUUGUGUCUAAUGCGGUUAUGCCCACCACAGCACGUUGUGAGGUCACCCACAGGCUCAAACUGCCGAUCGCGCAUCCAGGACGAUGGCAACGAUGCGUUGUUGAUGAUGACUCGAGAGAGACUUCACUCACACGCGUGUCUAGUCCUGGGUCGGGCGGCGACCGAGAUAAACCUGGUAUGAUCCUCUUGCGACGAGCUGCUUUCUGGCCAGACCGACGCCCAGGCGCCUCCACUGUGCCGGAAGCGUCAACCCCAGGCGGUGUGAACCCAGCUGCAUUUUGCAAGGUCUCUCAGCCGGGCGUUGGUCUGAGUGGUGUUAAGUCCAGCACCAUCGGUCACGUCUCGAAACACGGGCCAAGGAGUAUAGCAUGUGUGCAAGUCUAAGGGUCUCACAAAACCCGAAGGCGAAGUGAAAGCAAGACUGUGGCGGGGGAGCUACGGCAAACCCGCCGGCCUAGUGGCGCGUGCGUCGCCUGGCUUUUAACAGAGCUGAUCCUGUUUUCUCGGUUAAUUCUUGGUGCAGGCGCAAGCUCCGGGCUCACGUACAACACUGGUCACGCCUCGCG